AUUGAACGCUGGCGGCAGGCUUAACACAUGCAAGUCGAGCGAGCGGCGGACGGGUGAGUCAUGUCUGGGAAACUGCCUGAUGGAGGGGGAUAACUACUGGAAACUGUAGCUAAUACCGCAUACCAUCAGAUGUGCCCAAAUGGGAUUAGCUAGUAGGUGGGGUAAUGGCUCACCUAGGCGACGAUCCCUAGCUGGUCUGAGAGGAUGACCAGCCACACUGGAACGGAGACACGGUCCAGACUCCUACGGGAGGCAGCAGUGGGGAAUAUUGCGCAAUGGGCGCAAGCCUGACGCAGCCAUGCCGCGUGAAUGAAGAAGGCCUUCGGGUUGUAAAGCACUUUCAGCGAGGAGGCGUUAAUCGCAGAAGAAGCACCGGCUAACUCCGUGCCAGCAGCCGCGGUAAUAC
rnacentral:rRNA from 1 species